rnacentral:misc_RNA from 1 species
GAUGAAGAACGCAGCGAAAUGCGAUAAGUAAUGUGAAUUGCAGAAUUCAGUGAAUCAUCGAAUCUUUGAACGCACAUUGCGCCCCUUGGUAUUCCGAGGGGCAUGCCUGUUCGAGCGUCAUUUGUACCCUCAAGCUUUGCUUGGUGUUGGGCGUCUUGUCUCUAGCUUUGCUGGAGACUCGCCUUAAAGUAAUUGGCAGCCGGCCUACUGGUUUCGGAGCGCAGCACAAGUCGCACUCUCUAUCAGCAAAGGUCUAGCAUCCAUUAAGCCUUUUUUUCAACUUUUGACCUCGGAUCAGGUAGGGAUACCCGCUGAACUUAAGCAUAUCAAUAAGCGGAGGA